AAAGCUUUUAAUUAAAGGACAUCAAACUUUUUUAUAUACUGGGUUUUUAUGAAUGAUUACUAUCUGUUUUUUAUAAAGAUUUUUGUCACCCACUGAGACAAAUUGUCAACUGGAGAUCAAAGCUAUUUAACUUGAAAAACAAAACAAUACCUGUGCCAAAUAUGUCUCCUGUUUGUCUGAUAUUGUCAGAGAAUUUUGGUGCACUUUUGUAAAAUGUAGGUUUAGCAAUACAAAUACUCAACUUAAGUAUCAAGUGAAGUCUAUUUUAGAGAACAGUAUGUCUUUGUUUUAAUCUCUGAGACAGUAAAGCUGAUUCAGGAGACUUUCUUUGUCUUUUCUUUCUCUCUUUCUGUUCUAUUCCCCAGAGUUAUGGAACUUGGUACGUGUGUAACAAACCUACGUUGACCUGUUUGUCAGUGUAGCCAUCUUGUAUAUAGUCUGUACAGUGACUCGUUACUAUAUUAUGAUGAAGUCAUUUGUUUAUCUUUCUGAGAGUUUUAUUUGAAGCACAGUUUUAUAUUAAUAGAUACUUGAACCAAAGGGAAGAGAUUCCAUUGUUCAGAGUGUGUUUUGUAAGAAUUUUUUUGUUUUAAAAAAAAGUAUGAUUUUAUAGUUUUUUAACUGCAGUAUUAAUUGAGGUAGAAUAUUGUUUUCUAUAUUUUUAUUUUGUUAUAUCUCAACAUUGCUGUAUUUCAUCUCUUUUUUUUUAAAAUUAUGUUCACAACAGCCUGAAAUAAGAUGGAAUAUAUUUAGGAUGUAAAAAAUGGGUAAACAUAAUAUGUAUCUGAUACCAAAGAUUGAUGCUUGAAUCACAUGAAUUAUGAGCUUUAUGUGAUGUAACCAAUUUGUUUUGUCUUGAAACAGAUGUCUCUUGGUAUGGUAACAGCAUAUUGUUGAUGUAUUUGGUUGUAAAUCACUGAAAUACCUCGCUGUAAAACAGAGAAGGACAUAUCAUAAAAGUCUCUAUCCACUGUCUUCUAAGAACUCUUAAAUAAUAUUCAUUCCAAUGUUAACAUUUCUAGAAUUUAUUCAAAGGAAAACGUAAUGACUAUUUCUUUUAAAAUAGUAUGAAACCAUUCUGCCUUUAAGCAAAGAAAUAUUUUUUAUGUUAGAAAUUAAGAUGAACAAAAUCUGUUUUUGUAAUGAACUUUUAUCUGUUGUUUUUAGCUGGUGGUUUAAACUUUUUACACUGUGCCUUGAUCAAAAAUCAAGUCUUUUACUCUUGGUGGUUUUUAUCAACAACUGCAUUUAAAUUAGGUUGUAUCCACGCAGCAUGCAAGUAGAGGUGCCUUAACGUAUGCUAUAUGUAGAUGUGAAAUCAUGUUUACCAAUUUGAGAAUGCUUAGACUAUUUCAACUUUUUUUUUACCUCAUUAAAAUUGUGAUGUUGAUUU
rnacentral:misc_RNA from 1 species